GAGUACGGUCGCAAGACUAAAACUCAAAGAAAUUGACGGGGCCCGCACAAGCAGCGGAGCAUGCGGCUUAAUUCGACGCAACGCGAAGAACCUUACCAAGGCUUGACAUAUACAGGAAUACGGCAGAGAUGUCGUAGCCGCAAGGUCUGUAUACAGGUGGUGCAUGGUUGUCGUCAGCUCGUGUCGUGAGAUGUUGGGUUAAGUCCCGCAACGAGCGCAACCCUCGUCCUGUGUUACCAGCAUUUAGUUGGGGACUCACAGGAGACUGCCGGGGUCAACUCGGAGGAAGGUGGGGAUGACGUCAAAUCAUCAUGCCCCUUAUGUCUUGGGCUGCACGCAUGCUACAAUGGCUGGUACAAAGGGCUGCGAUACCGCGAGGUGGAGCGAAUCCCAAAAAGCCAGUCUCAGUUCGGAUUGGGGUCUGCAACUCGACCCCAUGAAGUCGGAGUUGCUAGUAAUCGUAGAUCAGCAACGCUACGGUGAAUACGUUCCCGGGGCUUGUACACACCGCCCGUCACGUCACGAAAGUCGGUAACACCCAAAGUCAGUGGCCUAACCGCAAGGAGGGAGCUGCCUAAGGUGGGAUCGGUGAUUGGGACG
rnacentral:rRNA from 1 species